ACUGAAGUUCUUGGGAAGUUAUCCAAGUGGAGAGGUCCCAGGUUCUGAGCUUGUUCCUGCCUAAAAAAAAAAAAAAAAGGCAAGCAGAGAAGGCAAGAGGAUACAGCAAAUGCCAGCAGCCACAUGCAGCCUUACCUCCCAUGAGGAAGAGAAGCCCUGCCACAUACUGCAUAAGGCCUCGGUCCCAGCAACAGCCCAGGACGCCGAUGAUCCAGCCGAAGAGGAUGAUGGCCACUGCCAUGCCCAUGAAGCCAGCUGUCAUUCUACGCAGAUCUGUGAGGAAGCAGGAGGAAAACAGUUAGCAUGAGAACACGUGAUACAGUAGGGUCACAGGUACCCUAAGCUUGGGGUAGGGAGAAGAGGGUAGAGGCACUUCAAGGGCAGGAAGACUACCUAUUGAGACCCCUACACAGGAGAGAACCACUGGUGGUGAAUGUCUUCUGCACAAGUGUGUUGUGAUAGCUGGGUUCCUAAGCACAGGGCAAGCAGAUCAUCGCCUGUGUGUGACGGCUCACUCCAUCUGUGCUAGGCAUGUGCUGCUCUUCCUGUGAGUCUCUCCCAUUCUGAAGAGACGGGUGCUGUCUCUAGUGUGGACAAUAGAGCAACUUGCUAAAAGCAGCACGGUAAGUGGUAGAGAGGACUCAAACCCAGAUAGCUGUGGCUAACAGCAUUAGCCUUUUAGAGACAGGAGAGCAGUGAGGUGGGCUGCUGGAGAGAGCAGGGCUUCUGUAGACAGGCCGCCCUCCCUGCUUUAACCCAGGGUCUGCUGGACUGGUUCUCUGCUCCAUCCCAAGCAGGCUCUUGGAGCUUAGUUUUGCCAGCAACCUUGGAAGCAGAGAAGAGCUGCAUCCCCCUCCCUUCGUCUGAGCCCCUGGAGCAGGCCCCUUCCUCGCAGUUACCUCUAUCCUCUGACUCAAGGGUCUGCCCCAGCGUCACAGCGAGGACUGUACCUGCUCGAUACAUCUCUGACCUAUCUGACAAAGCCAGGAAUGACUUGGUGAGGAAGGAGGUUGCUGGAAAAAUGCUGUUUGCAGCAGAAGGGAGAUGGAAGGACUGUUCUGUAUCUCUGCUGGCUACUUAGCAUCUUGCCCAACUCAGCUUCUUUCCUGGCUCCUUCCCCUGUGUGGCCAGAUGUCACCAGAACUACUGUCACAUGCUCCCUCUCCAUGCGUGGCUCUGGCCUGGACUUGUUUCCAGAAUGUUUUCCUUCUCUCACGCCCUUCCCGUAGAACUGACUCUUUACUUCCUGGGGAGCACGUCACCCAUCAUGUUGGUCACUCCUUCUUGAAUCUGCCUGCCGCCCCUACCUUUAAGGCAGUACCCCAGCCCCAGCCUGCUAACAGGGUUCUAAGCAAGAGAAAACCAAACAAAACAAAAACCCCAAGACAACAACAAAAAAACAAACCAUUUUUCCUGGCCUCUGCCCCAGACUCUGAAUCCUCUGCGGCAUCAAAGAGCAUCCUAGAGGGUCUCAAGGACAUUUUUCCUCUCACAAAGGAAAGGUAAAAUGUCACGGACUCAGGUACCUCAUAUCCACUGCUGCCCCAUCCCUCUUCUUGUCCCAGAGGAACAAACGCAACAGUGUCCCUGUGGGCACGGAGAUCUGAGUCCGUCAUAAGGAGGCCACCCUUCCAUCCUUUCUGUCUCUUACAUUCUAUCCACUCCUACCCUGAGUCAUGAAACACGUAAAAGGGACCUCUGCCUCCAGCAGAGCACAGUUUGAGUCAAGAUCCCUCUCUUGCAGGGUCUGGUCUCUUUGUUCUGCACGGAAAAUCAGACACUGUUAUCCCAGUCAAGAGAAGCUGACUAGAGAGAGAGGCACAAACAUAAAGGGAAAACAAUCCUGGCCCUCCCAUCUGGGAAGGUGAAGCCAGCAGAAGCUGGACAGACAGUUCUCUAGUCCCAGACGCAGAGAUCCCUGAAGGGGCAACAGAGAAGAUACCUACCCUGCCUGGUUCUCUUUUGCUUUUCUGAGCACCUAGCAGGCCUGCCCCAGCCAGGUGGAAAUGACACUCUGUAUUCACUUCUGUAAGUUGCUAAGGAUGCCUCAUUAUCACACAGCAGUGUGCAGAUUGCUCAUACUGCCAAAUGAGUCAAGGGAAGCUUUGCUGAAAGAGCCAUUUGAUGGCAAUGUUCACGGGCAAGCUCAGCCUCCUGCAUGGCCAGUCAUAGCUAUGGCUGGAAUCCAUAGCCAUAGCUAAGGAUGGAAUAUCCCUGCCCAUGGGCUGCUCCAGUCCCUGUGGGUCAGCUCCUAUGGACUGAUAUUGCUUCUCCUUUCAUUCCCAUCUCUACAGUCACACUCGUGGCCACCAUGGGAUUCCUUCUUCCUUUACCAUAAGGGCCUGAUCAGACUUGUCAGUGGAGACAUGUGAGGCCAUGUCUAUUGAUUCUUAGGAACAGAUAAUAUGUGAUUAAUACUUUAACCAUUGCUUGCUUAAUGGAAAAAGAAAGAGCCCAGCUCUACUACUGGGAAGUUUAGUAUCUUAAACAGAAGGUACUAAGUUCAGCAUCCUCUCCUAGGUUUUUCCUUUUUCAUUCAGUGAAGGCUUCUGGGUCCUGCCCUUUUAACCCCAGUAAACUUACCUUUCCUGGAGGUCAAAUGCUCACUUGGUUUUAAUGCCCGGAAGUCCUACACUGGCCCCAGACUAUAGACCCUUGGGAGUAAAGCUAUUGCCUAAGGGGAUGAGUGGGUGGUCUCAUCAUGUGAGUCCACACUGGCCAGAGAUGGACCUGUGGGUUGAUGAGGCAGGACAUCUAAAGAGAAUGCCAACCAAAAGAAUAGGAGGUGACAUUUAUUGAAGGAUGAGAGCAAAGUGUUCUACUUAUAAGAAAAUGGGCAGGAUCAGAAAAGCAGACAAAUGGAGAAAAUAAUUGCUAUUCUAAAAGUUCCUGGCAGAUUCCAAUCAUCUGAGUCUCGGGUGUUGUGCGUAUGUGUUGAGGGGGAGGGCAGUUACCUUCUUUCUGUCUCAGCUUAGGCAAACUUCUGUGCCUCCCGCAGGGUAUUGUUGACUUAGAUAAAGGGUUGCUCUAGUUGUUGAUGUAGAAAUAGGAUGAAAAACAGAGGUCCUGACUGUGUUGCCAUUGACCUGGGAAAGAUUUUCACAUCACCCUUGAGUCUGGCUUUAUCCGUGUGAACAACCAGUUCUCAUCUCCUUAGAGAGUUAACCAAGUUAUCUGUGUGGUAGCUCAGGCAAGCUACUAUAAUAGGUCAGAAGGCAGGCAGAACAAGAAGUAUUCCAAUUUUACAGAUGAGAAAAAGGCAAAACCCAAAGACAAAUAAAUAAGUUAUCGAUGGUCUCAAAGCCAGCGGACUGCAAAUAGAGUUAACAGCUGCAUCAUUGAAUUGUGUGAGGAAACAGGAUAAAUAAAAGAAUUAAAAUUGAUGUGAGCAAAUGCGUUUGGCAUUCCUUCUUCUAAAAUCAAGCCAGAACUGUAGCUAAGAGAUGGGGAUCAAAGGAAAAAAGACAACAAGAAGGGUGGGGGCCUUGACACUGCUGGGGGGUGGAAGUGACUGGGCUGAAUCCAAAGGCAGUGUCAGAGAAUCCCUACUGCCUAGCCCACAUGAAGCCUUCGGUUCCAACUCAAGAGAGGAUGGGGAGGGAGUGGGGAGGGAAGAAGUAAGAAAAAGAAAAAGGGUAUAAAAAUAAAAAAUGGAUGGAUGAAAGAAGACAAUGUCUAGCUUUAAUUUACACACAAAAUCUGGCUCAUGGAGCACUUGGGAAUGUUUGAAUGUAGAGGCAUUAGAGUGUAAUAUGUCUGUUGUUUAACAGUCUUUCUAGCUUUCUAUUUGCAUUUGAGUUAGUGCCAUCUGUCACUCUGUGGUCAUAUGCACAUGGUGCCACAGCUCUUCUACCUGCCUGCCAUCUUUCUCUUUAGGAAUAAGAAACUACCACUCAAUUCCUGCAGUUUCCUUGAACCCACAGAAACAUCCUUUAAUUGGGAAAUUAAGCAGUUUGUAUUUCUCUGUCAUUUAAUGGAUUAAGAAAAAGGAAAAAGAAAAGAAAGUGAAAAGUAUCUCCCCUUUAGGAAGCUCUAAGUCACCUUUCCUGGCAGCUUUAGAAAACUUUUUGGUUGGCUAUGAUGUGAAAUCUGUGACAACAGUCUCUACUGUCACACAGAGAAGAGCCUUGGAUGAGAAAGUUUGGUUCUGUGGACAAUCAUGGGAGUGAAGAAUCUCAUGGACCAUGUUGGGUUUGAGUCUGUUAUCUGUGUUUCCUGACCCUCACAUUUAAUGUUCCAGUGUUUGAGAUUAGGAAGGUGCAUCCUAAACUCUUGAAUUUAGUCCAGCAUGAUGGGAAGAGGCGGGCAGAGGGAAGAGGGCUGCGAAGAAGGGUGGAGGAAGAAACACAAGGAGAACCAUAAAAUAAAGCU
rnacentral:lncRNA from 1 species